ensembl:lncRNA
AUGAUUCUUGUUUUCUGUUUUGUUCUGUUAGGUUUUGUUUUGCUUUGAACUUGUCAGCAUUUUGCCUUGAGCAAUCUCCACCUCUAAGUCUCCAAAUGCCUGGAAAUGAGAAUUUGUCAAGGAAGUAGAGUUAUUGCAGAAUCAUGAGAAUUGGAUAUGGAAAGAAUUCACGAAGCAGUCUAUUCCAACUGCAGGCCACUUAAGAAGAAUUUUUAGUCUGCUCUCCAAUGAUGGGAAAAAUCCUGUUAUUCCUCUAAAUACAAGGGGGAAAAUGAGAGUGGAAAUCACGGAAGACAGCUAUGCUUCCUGAUAAUCUGUAAGUAUCUCUCCUUCUUUGGCUUCUUAUUUUUCUGUCUAUAAAUGGACCAGGGGAUUUUUAAGCUCUGACCUCUGCUGAUUCCACUGGCCCUGGGCGGUCAGAUUAGAGUGGAGAGUUAGGACUCCUCUGCUGUCCCCUUAGUUACAGGGUCAUAGCUGCCAUUCCUACUGGUUUCCCAUCAGGUGCCACACCCUCCUCUAGCUGUCUCUGAUGUAUGUGUUCUUAUCACACUUUUUGGCAAAGUAUGCCUCAUGGUCUGAU